rnacentral:lncRNA from 1 species
AACUGAAGACAGCUGUUUGAUUGCUACUUGAGAGAGUAGAGUUGAACAAGCUUGAAUAUGGAUGAUCUCAUUCGGCUUUAUAAAACUAAACAGAGCACAGGCAGCUAGUUGAAUAAUAUAUCUCCAAGGAAAAGAAGAGUUAGUGUAAUUUAUCUUUGUCAUAAUAUAUAUCAUGAUCUUGCUUAUAAACUCCAGAUAGGAUUUCUGUUUCCAAAGGUCAGAUUAUCUUUAGCAUGGUGACCUCACUCUUCAGUAACAACAUAUCCCUGGCAACCCUGGAGGAUCAAGGUUAGCUACUUCAGAAGUUCUGUACAGAUCUUCUGCGGUGAAUGUAAAUGGACUGAUACAGACAGCAUGGUGAUCUGCUCUCUCCUGACUUGAAAUGUAAGAAGUAACAUGAAGACAUUUUCAUUUCUCAGGCAAACUUCAGUAAAAUUGAG